GAGUCGGUGGAGGAUUGUCUUAAGAAGGGAGCCCUAGAGCAUCAGAGGCUGGAAGCCGACAGGCUGGACUGAAUGGGUAUUUCUGCACUGUUCCUCGGUGGCCAGCAGAGGAAUUUCCAGGGUCCAAAGGGUGAGGAUUAGGGAAAAGAAAAAAGACGGGGUUAGAUGCACAGGUAUCCCAUCAUGUGAUGUGACUGCACAAGAGGCCCUGAUCGUCAGUUAACAGCUAUACCAAAACCACAGGUGCAACACAGAGGGCCACUGAGUCCAGAAAGUUGACCUCCUCACAGCUCAGAGUGGAGGAAUCCGCUAGCUGCAGUCUGUCAGCUUUCCUGGUGAAAGCCUGGAGCGGGCUGACGCCUGCUCCCUCUCCGCCAGUUCCCCAGGCGUCUGGGUCGCCUACACAAGGCUUAAUCAAGUCAUCAUAUCUAGCCAGUGUCUCCUGGAUCCCGUCACUUCUGAAUGAGAAAAAAAAUUGCGGACAAAUUUCUAUCAGCAGGAAGUUGGUGCUCUCCUGCGAGGAAGGAUGAAAAGCCCCUGUGACGUCAGCAGUCUCCCGCCUUCCCGCGCCUGCUGCGAGCUUUGAAGCUGCUGCGGGCUUCUGUUUCUGCCCCUAGCAGCCCACCUGCCCCUCUGGGUCCCGUUCAGGCCCCACAACUGCUCCGACUGCUCUGGAUGAGCCCAAAGCGUCCUAAUUAUGGACAUUGCUGGCUUGUACUGGUCAAAUAAGAAGGGUCUGCCCCACAUCAAGAAACUUACAGGCACCAGCGAACCCUGGCCUCCCCAUUGUCCCCGCAGUAAGGAGCAUUUGAUUGAGGGCCAGGACAGUUUGUCGGAACUUAUAAAAGCCCAGUUUGAAGAAAGGGGCUGCCUGGCCUCCCUCUAUAGACUGAUAAUUUUCACUUUGUAGUAAAAACUGUGAGAGAUAAACC
rnacentral:lncRNA from 1 species